UAAUUGACGCUGAGGCACGAAAGCGUGGGGAUCAAACAGGAUUAGAUACCCUGGUAGUCCACGCAGUAAACGAUGAUAACUAACCGCUGGGAUUUCGGUUUCAGUGGCCAAGCGAAAGCGAUAAGUUAUCCACCUGGGGAGUACGACCGCAAGGUUGAAACUCAAAGGAAUUGACGGGGGCCCGCACAAGCGGAGGAACAUGUGGUUUAAUUCGAUGAUACGCGAGGAACCUUACCCGGGCUCGAACGGCUGGUGAAGCGAUCCAGAGAUGGUGACGUCCUUCGGGACACCAGUCGAGGUGCUGCAUGGUUGUCGUCAGCUCGUGCCGUGAGGUGUCGGCUCAAGUGCCAUAACGAGCGCAACCCUUGUCGUCAGUUACCAGCAUGCAAUGAUGGGGACUCUGGCGAGACUGCCACCGCAAGGUGAGAGGAAGGGGGGGAUGACGUCAAAUCAGCACGGCCCUUACGUCCGGGGCGACACACGUGUUACAAUGGCGGCCACAGAGGGGCACUACCUGGUGACAGGAUGGGAAUCUCGAAAAGCCGUCUCAGUCCGGAUCGGAGUCUGCAACCCGACUCCGUGAAGCUGGAUUCGCUAGUA
rnacentral:rRNA from 1 species